UACAGAGGGUGCGAGCGUUAAUCGGAUUUACUGGGCGUAAAGGGUGCGUAGGUGGUAAAGCAAGUAAGAUGUGAAAGCCCCGGGCUUAACCUGGGAAGUGCAUCUUAAACUGUUUAACUAGAGUACUGUAGAGGGUAGUGGAAUUUCCGGUGUAGCGGUGAAAUGCGUAGAGAUCGGAAGGAACGCCAGUGGUGAAGACGACUACCUGGACAGAUACUGACACUGAGGCACGAAAGCGUGGGGAUCAAACAGG
rnacentral:rRNA from 1 species